rnacentral:misc_RNA from 1 species
UAGCUUUUGGGGAUGAGUUAGGUUUGACCCAUUUUCUUAAGAAUAAGAAAAAGAUAAUGAGAACAAGUUUGAAAAGGAGUGACGAAACAUUAAGAAAUAAAAAUUAAGGUAUAAUUAUACUUGACCCUUAUUUGUGUAAACUCUAUCUAUUUAGCUAUUUUCUUCUUGUAUGAGUUUACACAAAGAAGAAUUAGAUCCUGUAAAAACAUGAUUUAACAUUCAAAUAAUUUCUUAACAGCACAACACUAUUUUCAUGAUAUGCAUUUUUGAAACCUAAUUUCAAAGUUUUAAGAUGCAUGCCAAAAUAUAUGAUAGAAUGAGAAAGAACUAUAAGGGAAGGAAGAAAAACAAACAAGGAGAUUGAAAAUCAAAUUUUAAUACUAACUUGGAAGUAUGAUGAUGAAGGGUAUGAUAUGUUCAUAUCUUGGACCGCAAAGUGACAAAGGGAAAAGUCAAAUAUUGAUUGGUUAAAAACUACGCAAGAAGCAAACUGGAGGGGUAAGUCAUAUUUCAAGACUUGCUGCCAGAUUAUUUAAUAACUUCCCAAGUCUUUUCAAUAAUCUACCAAGUCUUCUAGCCCGACCUGAUUAGAUCUGCACCAAACCUGUCACUUUGACAAUAAAUAGCCCCGUAACUUGUACCACAAGCAAAAUAUAAGUGGAAAUGACAAGCAUUACAGGGUUAGGAAAUCCACAUGGUUGUGUGUGGGACCCAUAUUGAAGGGAAGGUUCAGCUAGGCAAGAUCCUCAAGCAGGGCUACUUUCAAUUCACCAUUAAAGAAGACACCAUGGAUUUUCUUAACAAAUGUGGCAGUUGUCAGACAUUCUCUAAUGCCAUUAACCAAUAAAUAAUGGAGCAAACUCCUAUGUCUAGCCCUCAGACAUUCUAGCUUUAGGGGGAAGAAUUUACAAUACCAUCAACCAUUUCAUUAAAUUAAUAGAAACAUAAACAUUGGCCACCAUCAGUGCAAAGAAAGCAAUCAAUUUUGCUUGGAGGAACAUUAGUGUACCCAUAUGGAAUUCCUUCUUUUUUUUUUUUUAAUUUUGGCUCACCCCUAGUCUCAAUGAAACUUACAGCAGCACAUCAUAAAGGGAAAACAAAUAAAACAGCACACAUUGAUACAAAAAAUGUCCGCUUGCUCAAGCUAAAAAGUAUCAUUCAUCAACGAAAUAUGACCUAACUAAAAUACAACGGAAAAAAAAAAAGGACUAUUUGAUCAAUCAAACUCACAAAAUUAGGACUUCUUCAAUCCUGCAACUACUUUGGCCAAAUUAAUUGUGGGCCAAAUAGCCAUUGCCAUAAGUAUAGGUGUUAAAACAUUUUAAAUGAUCGGGAGUUGCAAAUGGCAACUUGGCAACUGAGCAGGCAGCAACUUCUAUCCAACUUACUAGGCUCAAUUUGGCACAGCAUUAAGACAAAUAAAUAAACAAACAAAUAUCUCCACAUAAGUAUGCAUAAAUCUUAAGAAAAGGGAAACAAGGUCCCCAAAACUUCAGAACAUAAUCUACCAAAAGAAGCAGCCGUAGUUGUAGAGACAGUAGUAGCAAUAGAAGCAGCUAUGGGUUGAGGCACACUUCUCACGGGAGUUGAUUCCUCUUAAGACAAGAGUAACAUUUAACUUCACAGGAGCCUUGCUUGAUUUUGCUCUCAUUGCAUAGCGUCUAUUUUGGAACCAAUUUCAAACCUAUAGUCAUAAAUUAAUUGAGAAAUAAACUCUAACUGACUCCUUAUUCCUGGGGAAAAUGCAAUAAAAUUGUCUCACUUGUUUCAUUUGCACAACGAUCUUCCCUUUUCGUUCUGGAGAUUCACUGAACUUCUCAGCAAGAGCUACCAAAACUUCCCUAGCUGGCAUCGAAUUAUGGUGCUCUUGCAAAAUACCUUCCAUCUUUGUACCUGGCCAUGAAGCGAAAGGCAGGGCGCCAUUACUAGGAGGUCGACCCAUGACUACUAUCAACUGAAAUGUGAACAGCAAAGACAAUCCAAAAGAAUUGGCUUACUGCAAGAAUCAGAUUGUUAUUUGUUGUGGGCAAUAUCUGUUUUUGUUUAGAAGCAAGAGGGAGGCACUGAAAAAUCUAUUAUCAGAUAGAUAAACGGGAAAGGCUCUAGUGCCCUUGGCCUUCCUUUUCA